GACGAACGCUGGCGGCGUGCCUAAUACAUGCCAGUCGUGCGGACCUUGUUGAAAGCUUGCUUUUAAAAGGUUAGCGGCGGACGGGUGAGUAACACGUGGGCAACCUGCCUGUAAGACUGGGAUAACGCCGGGAAACCGGGGCUAAUACCAGAUCGUUUUUUCCUCCGCAUGGAGGAAAAAGGAAAGGCGGCUUCGGCUGCCACUUACAGAUGGGCCCGCGGCGCAUUAGCUAGUUGGCGGGGUAAUGGCCCACCAAGGCAACGAUGCGUAGCCGACCUGAGAGGGUGAUCGGCCACAUUGGGGCUGAGACACGGCCCAAACUCCUACGGGAGGCAGCAGUAGGGAAUCUUCCGCGAUGGACGAGAGUCUGACGGAGCAACGCCGCGUGAGUGAAGAAGGCCUUCGGGUCGUAAAACUCUGUUGCCGGGGAAGAACAAGUGCCGUUCGAACAGGGCGGCGCCUUGACGGUACCCGGCCAGAAAGCCACGGCUAACUACGUG
rnacentral:rRNA from 1 species